CUGUCAAAGUAAAAAAAAUGGUAUUUACUGUUUGGAUCAAGGAAUAAGUGAAUUACCAGAAUUUGAGGAAGUAAAUAAGGGUUGUUGCCUCCACUCUGGAUAUCACCACAGCCCCCAGUCCCCUGGAAGACAGUGGUUCCACUUUUCAGGACCCUGUUGAGUGUCCUAGACCUGCAGACAAGUAUGAGAGUGCUGUAGAAGGUCUUUGUUCCGGGCAUCCCUGCAGUACACGAAACUACCAGCCCUGAUCCCACGUUCAGAUGGAGUCCAAGACAAAGCACCCCGGAGCAUACAGCCAGCGUUCUGUCAGCUAUAAUCAGCCAGCCCAUCAUGUUUCUUGGACUGCAAGAUCAUGACCCGAGCCAACGUCAGACACUCAACUGACUGAGCCACUCAGGGACCCCUCCGCCCAUCAUGUUUCUUAACUCCACAGCUAUAUCGAACCUGAGCACGGCCACAGGCUGCCUGAAUAACGUCACCUAGAAGCUGUAGAAAAGACCCCGUGCACCAUUGCCCAGCCACUAGUCCUUGGCACACUGUCUUAGUGACUCGGCAGAGCCCGUCUCCUUCCUUUAAAAUUACAUAUAAAUAAAAUCAUAAUGAUCUCAAA